UACGUAGGGUGCGAGCGUUGUCCGGAAUUAUUGGGCGUAAAGAGCUCGUAGGCGGUUUGUCACGUCUGCUGUGAAAUCCCGAGGCUCAACCUCGGGCCUGCAGUGGGUACGGGCAGACUGGAGUGCGGUAGGGGAGAAUGGAAUUCCUGGUGUAGCGGUGGAAUGCGCAGAUAUCAGGAGGAACACCGAUGGCGAAGGCAGUGCUCUGGGCCGUAACUGACGCUGAGGCGCGAAAGCAUGGGGAGCGAACGGG
rnacentral:rRNA from 1 species